rnacentral:rRNA from 1 species
AGUGAACGCUGGCGGUAGGCCUAACACAUGCAAGUCGAACGGCAGCACAGAGGAGCUUGCUCCUUGGGUGGCGAGUGGCGGACGGGUGAGGAAUACAUCGGAAUCUACUCUGUCGUGGGGGAUAACGUAGGGAAACUUACGCUAAUACCGCAUACGACCUACGGGUGAAAGCAGGGGACCUUCGGGCCUUGCGCGAUUGAAUGAGCCGGUGUCGGAUUAGCUAGGUGGCGGGGUAAAGGCCCACCAAGGCGACGAUCCGUAGCUGGUCUGAGAGGAUGAUCAGCCACACUGGAACUGAGACACGGUCCAGACUCCUGCGGGAGGCUGCAGUGAGGAAUAUUGGACAAUGGGCGCAAGCCUGAUCCAGCCAUACCGCGUGGGUGAAGAAGGCCUUCGGGUUGUAAAGCCCUUUUGUUGGGAAAGAAAUCCAGCUGGCUAAUACCCGGUUGGGAUGACGGUACCCAAAGAAUAAGCACCGGCUAACUUCGUGCCAGCAGCCGCGGUAA